rnacentral:rRNA from 2 species
AACGACUCUCGGCAACGGAUAUCUAGGCUCUCACAUCGAUGAAGAACGUAGUGAAAUGCAAUACUUGGUGUGAAUUGCAGAAUCCCGCGAAUCAUCAAGUUUUUGAACGCAAGUUGCGCCCGAAGCCAUUCGGCCGAGGGCACGUUUGCCUGGGUGUCACG